rnacentral:misc_RNA from 1 species
GGAAGGAUCAUUACUGUAUAACAACAUAAAGGUCUAACUCGCUUGCGGGGAAGGCCGAUAAAGUGGCUGUGAGGUCGCCAGGGUUGUACCCUACAUGCACCAUAAAAAGUGGCAAAGUUAAAAAUUGGGGGGAAAAAAAAGUGGUUUUUCGAAAUCCAUUUUAGAGUAGAGUAGAGAUGCCGUUUUGGGUUAUAUGAGGAGGGAAGGUACAAAAGCGAAAGCUAACCUGAACUCUGGGCUGGGGCAAGGAAACGCUAGUGCACGAACACUGAGCGGCCCAAUAGGGAAGGAACACAACAUUCGGUCGUACUAGGCGGGCAGGGCCCUGCUUGCUUAGGACUUCCAGUGCUGAUGUAUCCGACUCUAGGUCUGCACGCGAUUAUUCAUCGGAGGGCCCGCCGGUGAGUAACUCGUAUGCAUGAACCGAACUGUGUACUAUAUGUCUAAUUUGAAUGCGUAAAGCAAUUCUAUACCACAACUGUAUAGGGUGGAUGAAUUGGCUCCAGUAUCGAUGAAGAUCGUAGCAAACUGCGAUAAGUGAUGCGAAUUGCAGAAAUACGUGAGUCAUCAUAUCAUUGAAUGCACACUGCGCUCAGGGCCUCGGCCUUGAGCUUACCUGGCUCAGCUGCGACAAUAGCUUUUAACCCAACCCUACGGGGUGGAAAUGAGGUGCUCAUAGUGCUUGAUCCACACUAUACCCUCUAAAUGAUGCCUAGUUUGCCAACCAAACUCUCAUUCGGCGGCCUUGUGUCACGAUUAGUUAGCGAGGUUCAAGGCUUAUUAGCAGCACAUACCCACGAAAAUAUGCCUAGCAAGCAUUUACAUAUCGCACUGAGCUCAAGUAAGACUACCCCCGGAAUUUAAGCAUAUCACUACGGGGAGGAAGAGAAAUUAACUAAGAUUCCCGCAGUAACUGCGAGUGAAAUGGGAAAAGCCCAGCCCGAAUCUGCCUCAGUUAAAUCUGGGGUUGAGUUGUAGGCUAAGGAUUGCUUGUCUGUCGAUUGUAGUUGUCCGAAGUCUGUUGGAACGCAGUGUCAUAGAAGGUGAUAGCCCUGUAGGAUGAUUAUAGUUGGCUUUGAAUAGGCAGAUCCAGGAGUCGAACUGCUUGGGAGUGCAGUUCAAAUAGGGUGGUACGCACCAUCCAAGGCUAAAUAUUAACUGGAGACCGAUAGCGAACAAGUACCGUGAGGGAAAUUUGAAAAGGACUUUGGAAAGAGAGUUAAAAGUACCUGAAACCCUAUACAGGAAAGCGGUGGGCUGAACCGUGCGUUAGGGUCUGAAUCAGUUGUCGCCAGUGAUGUUAGAUGCAGUAGGGAACAUCCUUCGGGGUGUCUCGUAUGUGUUGAUGUAGCUUCGGCAGUGCAUUUUAGAUCUGAGCACCAGCGCCACUUGCUGACGCUUAAAUAUGGCUAGGGAAUGGUAGCAUCAUAAGGUGUGAAGGCUUUGGCUUGAUGGGUGUUGGCGAGUGAGGUGUCUUAAAGGACAGUGGGAGGCGGUCUCCAUGAGGCCCUUGUUAAGGAGAUUCUAAUGAUAUCGUAUCAGCCAAAACUGGUGCGGUUGAUUUGUGGCUCAGUGGCGAGUUACUUGUAGCCCCCCUAGGCGUUGGAGGUGAAGCUCACCGUCCCGUCUUGAAACACGGACCAAGGAGUCUAAUUCUUGUGCAAGUUGCAGGGUCAGUCAAACCCUAUAGCGUAAUGAAAGUAAUUUGUCCCAAACGCGAGUUGCAGGAUAGUCCGGUUGCCUCCUUCGCGGAGCGUACCGAGAUGUAGCAUAUGAAUUAGGACCCGAAAGAUAGCGAACUAUGCCUGUACAGGUCGAAGGCAGAAGAAAUUCUGCUGGAGGAUCGUAGCGUUGUUGACGUGCAAAUCACUCGUCAGAUAUGGGUAUAGCGGCGAAAGACUAAUCGAGCUGUCUAGUAGCUGGUUCCGUC